rnacentral:rRNA from 1 species
CGCGAACGGGUGAGUAUCACGUGGGUAACCUGCCCCGAUGACCGGGACAACCCGAGGAAACUCGGGCUAAAUACCGGAUGUGCCCCUCACACACCAGUGCGAGGAGGAAAGGAAGCUUCGGCCUCCGCAUCGGGAUGGGCCCGCGACCAUUAGCUUGUUGGUGAGGUAAAGGCUCACCAAGGCGACGAUGGGUAGCUGGUCUGAGAGGACGAUCAGCCACACUGGGACUGAGACACGGCCCAGACUCCUACGGGAGGCAGCAGUGGGGAAUCUUGCGCAAUGCGCGAAAGCGUGACGCAGCAACGCCGCGUGAGGGAAGAAGGCCUUCGGGUUGUAAACCUCUUUCAGGAGGGACGAAGGUUCAGGCGCGAAUAGCGUCCUGGACUGACGGUACCUCCAGAAGAAGCCCCGGCUAACUACGUGCCAGCCGCCGCGG